AUUGAACGCUGGCGGCAGGCUUAACACAUGCAAGUCGAGCGGAGAGAGGUAGCUUGCUACUGAUCUUAGCGGCGGACGGGUGAGUAAUGCUUAGGAAUCUGCCUAUUAGUGGGGGACAACAUUUCGAAAGGAAUACUAAUACCGCAUACGUCCUACGGGAGAAAGCAGGGGGUCACUUGUGACCUUGCGCUAAUAGAUGAGCCUAAGUCGGAUUAGCUAGUUGGUGGGGUAAAGGCCUACCAAGGCGACGAUCUGUAGCGGGUCUGAGAGGAUGAUCCGCCACACUGGGACUGAGACACGGCCCAGACUCCUACGGGAGGCAGCAGUGGGGAAUAUUGGACAAUGGGGGGAACCCUGAUCCAGCCAUGCCGCGUGUGUGAAGAAGGCCUUAUGGUUGUAAAGCACUUUAAGCGAGGAGGAGGCUCUUUUGGUUAAUACCCAAGAUGAGUGGACGUUACUCGCAGAAUAAGCACCGGCUAACUCUGUGCCAGCAGCCGCAGUAA
rnacentral:rRNA from 1 species